GCGCUUUAAUUCGCAAUGUGUAUUUUCAAUUAACCAUCGCUGUUUCGUUCGAUCGUAUCUAGUCGGGGUGCAUGCGGGAAAUUCUCGUAGACAUGGCAAAAUACGAUACAGACAAAACUCUGCUUAUUCAUUCCCCGAAUAAUCGAGGAUUGUAUUCUUUUAUUUAU